rnacentral:rRNA from 1 species
UACGUAGGUGGCAAGCGUUGUCCGGAAUUAUUGGGCGUAAAGCGCGCGCAGGCGGCCUCUUAAGUCUGAUGUGAAAGCCCCCGGCUCAACCGGGGAGGGCCAUUGGAAACUGGGAGGCUUGAGUAUAGGAGAGAAGAGUGGAAUUCCACGUGUAGCGGUGAAAUGCGUAGAGAUGUGGAGGAACACCAGUGGCGAAGGCAACUCUUUGGCCUAUAACUGACGCUGAGGCGCGAAAGCGUGGGGAGCAAACAGG